AUGAACGCUGGCGGCGUGCCUAAUACCUGCAAGUCGAGCGAACGGACGAGAAGCUUUCUUCUCUGAUGUUAGCGGCGGACGGGUGAGUAACACGUGGAUAACCUACCUAUAAGACUGGGAUAACUUCGGGAAACCGGAGCUAAUACCGGAUAAUAUUUUGAACCGCAUGGUUCAAAAGUGAAAGACGGUCUUGCUGUCACUUAUAGAUGGAUCCGCGCUGCAUUAGCUAGUUGGUAAGGUAACGGCUUACCAAGGCAACGAUGCAUAGCCGACCUAAGAGGGUGAUCGGCCACACUGGAACUGAGACACGGUCCAGACUCCUACGGGAGGCAGCAGUAGGGAAUCUUCCGCAAUGGGCGAAAGCCUGACGGAGCAACGCCGCGUGAGUGAUGAAGGUCUUCGGAUCGUAAAACUCUGUUAUUAGGGAAGAACAUAUGUGUAAGUAACUGUGCACAUCUUGACGGUACCUAAUCAGAAAGCCACGGCUAACUACGUG
rnacentral:rRNA from 1 species